rnacentral:lncRNA from 1 species
CCCAAAAGCAGUGCUUAGACAAGUCUCUAUUUUUACCUAGAGCCCUCUCUCCCUUGAAAAUAUGUACUCAUUUUGCUUGUAAUAAAAACUGAAUUUCAGAUUGUUGAAGUGAUUUGCCCAAGAUUACCUCCUGAGAAGAUAGUAGAGACAGGAAAUAAAUCCCGCAUGAAACUCAUUCCAUCAAACACCAGUGCUUCUGUUCCAUGUUUGUGUGCGGUUCUAUUUCACCAGAGUAGACAUUCUCCUCUCCCGUGGCACGCCGGGAAGAUGAAGCUGGAUAGCUCCAUGGGGGUAUUAAGUACAGGUUCUAACACCAUUUCAUCCUGCUUGCCUUUGCCUGAAACAAACUCUCAGCUCAUCUCUGCUCUUGCACCUGGAGGCAACAAGGAUACUCAGGUGGAGGAAACACAUUUCCACACAGCUUACAAACUGUC